GACGAAUGAUCAAGUCUGAAAACAUAUGUAAUAGUUUUUAGGAUCAGAUCAUGUAAUGUCUUAUGAAUGAAUAAAUUUUCCAUUCAUUUUCGAAUAGUCACAAACUUCCUUUGACAUUCUCAACUAUGAUAAUGCUUUUUAAUCAGUCAGUAAGAAAAAUAAGAAAGAUAAAACAAAGAAAGAAAAUAAAGAAUAAAAUAGAUAAGCCAUAUAGAUAAAGCACAAAACAGUAA
rnacentral:lncRNA from 1 species